UACGAAGGGGGGCUAGCGUUGCUCGGAAUUACUGGGCGUAAAGGGCGCGUAGGCGGAUAUUUAAGUUGGGGGGUGAAAUCCCGGGGCUCAACCUCGGAAUUGCCUUCAAAACUGGAUAUCUUGAGUUCGGGAGAGGUGAGUGGAACUCCGAGUGUAGAGGUGAAAUUCGUAGAUAUUCGGAAGAACACCAGUGGCGAAGGCGACUCACUGGCCCGAUACUGACGCUGAGGCGCGAAAGCGUGGGGAGCAAACAGG
rnacentral:rRNA from 1 species